UCCUCGCUGCUGGGAAGGGAGGAAGAGGAGAUCCCCGCCCAGGCCCGGGCGCGGACGCCAGCCUGCCGCCGUUCCAGCCCGCAGCGCUCCCGGCCAGCGCUGGGGAGGGAGGACAGCACAGGCUGCCUCGCCUGGGAGCAGAGAGAGCCAGGAGCAGCCCCAGGGCUUGGCUCUGCGUGAAGGAUGAGCUCCGGGUCUUCUCUGCCAUCAGGGAUGUGCAGGAGGAGCUUUUUCCCUGUCCUUUUGGGGACAGGGAUGGGACAGAAGCUCCUGGGACCUCACCGCCAUGUCAGCAGCACCUUGGCACCGGGAAAGCGCAGGGCUUUGAGAUAUCCUACAAAGUUUCAGGACUCAGAGCCGAACCCCGGCGCUCUCAGCAAGUGUUUCCAUCCCCUUGAGACCUCAGACUGACAUCAACACCUGGAGGACAUCUGGGCCCUGCUGACAAACAUCGCCAUCGAGCCCUCGUGUGCUUCCUCCCCUCCCCUCCAAAAAUAAAAGCUGGGCCUUGCAGCCACGCUGCCGGCCUCAAAAUCCCAGGUUAAGGUGCUCCAGAGCACAGGGACCCUGCGGAGGGAUGGGUUUGUACCCCUGGAAGGUGAUGGGGGAAGGUCUCCUGCUUGCUGCGCUGCCCCAGGCAAAGUCCUUCGUCCUGCUGGGCUGCAGCCCCCAGCCCCGAGGAGGGCCGUGGGGAUGGGGAGGACCACAUUCACCAGGCUUCACGUUUUUUCAGAGCCUAAGAAAUCACAUAAGAAGUCCUGCCCCUCCCUCCUGCUCUGUGCUUGUUGCUCCUUGAAAGCUUCUCUCAAUUUAUGUGUGAGCUACAGGAGCCCUCCUUAACCUUCUUUUCUCCUUCCUCAGUCCCUAGUCUUACAGAUCUGCCCCUUCCUCAUCAUGGAUCCAGCUGAAAAAUUAACUCAGGAAAAAAAGUAGCCUGCUUUCAGCCGGAUCACCUCCCCGAACCGAGUCUCACCGCGCUCCUCCAGCUCCAGGAGCACCCGGUGGCAGCCUGGGCACAAAGGGGCGGUGGGUCAGCACCGUAACUCGGACACAUCGCAACACCCUGCUCCUCGCACGAGCCCUCUUCCACGCUGCUCCACCAUCUAUGAGUCGUUCCUUCCAUAAUCCCCGUGAAAAAAUAAACAGCCCUUGGCAGCACCCCCAGUCCUGCCUUGAUCCGCCGGCGUCCCGGUCGCUCCCAGCUGCUGGAUCCCAAAAUCUCCCAAACCUGCUGCGAGCUCAGGGACCCGGCCAGCGGUCCCCAGGCUGCGGCAGGAGGGACGCCUCGCCUCCCAGAGCAGCCACCCCCUAAAAACCCACUCCCACCGCCCGGCAGCCAACCUGCCCCCAUCUGCAGCCCCUGCACGGCUGAGAAACCCUCGCUCCCUCUUCCAAAUAAACAUCUUGGAUUCAAGAUCCAGCUGGCCUGGGUGAUCUCAGAGCCUUCUCCCCGCAGGGGUGAAACGCAGCCAGCCUCUCCCACCCUCUCGCCGAAGGCUGAGCUGCCUCUCCCCUGCCCAGAGACCUCUGCUCGGGGCUCAGCCCUGCCACGGCGAGACCCCAGCUCCCAGCGGCAGCCCCCUGCCCUUCCUCCUCAUGUCCCACCGGCUCAGCGGGGUGGGCAGGGGCUGAGCUCUGCUCCCCAGGAGCCAGCCCUGAGGACACGGACCCUCGAGAAGCUCAGCGAGGGCGCCCCGAUGCCACCUACGUGCAGAGGUGACAACCCGCCGCCGUGCGGGCAAGAAAUCCCCGCUUUGAUUUAAAGGCAGCGAGUUUUUUUUUUCCCCCUCCCAUCUGAUCUAGUUAAACUUCCAACUGCUCAAGGCUAUUUUAAUUUGUACUGGUAAGUUAAAUCAACACAAACAAGGGCAGAACAGGUUUACAUGCACCUCUAUUACCGGCUAGCGCAGCUCGAUUUGUCUAGGCAGCUUUUUUUUUUUUUUUUUUUUUCCUAAUAAAGAUAAGGGGGGGCCUUUCUUGUGCACCUCCGACUGACAAAUGGAGCCUGAAAGUGACUUGGGAGUCAACGCCUUCCAGCAAGUCAAGGUGACUUAUGCGCCAAUAGGCUGGAUUCAAAGAGCUUUGCAAAAAUGCAGAUCAACUAACAAGAUUUAUAAAACCUGUUAGGGGCUUAGAGGCCGCUUAAUUCUCCAAGGUGCCAAUGAAAGCGCCUGACUUGCACAGGAAUGGGUAGGACUUACGGAGGUGGCUAGCUCAACCUUUAGGUUGCUUCAAGGAAAGGGAUUCAGUUUCUCCUGGAAACCACGGUUUGACGCGAGAUGUUUACUCAAAGCCCUGGCUCCUCCACCACUUACUCCACGGAGAAAGAAACGAAGUCCUGCCGCUGCCUGCAGCCCUUACGAACGUUUACCCCAAAGCCGCAGCAGAACCUGCUGCUUCAGCUAACCGGCGACAGAAACCACCCAGAGGAACACGAGACUCGACGGGAUUCGGCGCAAAACUUGGGGGGGAAAAAAGGAGAGAAAGCAAACUGUGAACUCCUGCAGCAUCCCGAAUCUCCGUGGGGCUUUCCAGGCGGGGAGCAGCCCCUCUGCCCCUGCCCGUGGUGAGGGCAAUGCGCAGCGAGCCCCUCGUGGUUUGGGACCGAGGAUGCUCGAGGAUGCUCAGGGAGCCGGCGCCGCAACCGCGCACCGAGGACCCCUCCACCGCCUCCUCGCAGGAAAGCCGCUGGGUUUUCUCCCUCGCCCAUUUUAUUUUUUCAUUUAUUUAUUUUUUUGCUUUGCGAGGCGGCUGUUGAGAAUCUGAAAGCCCGGAUUAUAAUCUUUAUGAAUCCCAUAGUUAGAGCGUGCUGAACAGCAGCCCAGCAACACCAGAUGUUCAAACAAAGCUGCCAACCGACAGCUGUCUGCAGCUUGCAGCGUGUUUUUACUUUAAAAUGCAAAAUGAUACCAAUCUAUAUUAAAAGAGAGACGUUCGGAGCCAUGCGAUAGCAGCUGAAGCCGCGGAUAUUGCUCUUUCUUGCAGGGUGUGGCAACAGAAGGAAAUAUCUCAGAAACUACUGCUUAAGCUGCCCUCCCAGCCCCCCCCCCCAAAUCCUGGCCCCUUUCCUAAUGGGAAAGAGCCUCACGUUACUGCUUGAGUGCCGUGAAUGUACCAGUGCGUGUCCAAACACGCCAGUAAAAAGAAAAAUGCAACAUGAACAAACACCGUCUGACGGAGGGUGCCAGAACGAAUCUGGGCGCUGCAGAGCCCGCACCUGGCCCCGAGCGGCGCGAGGGACGGAGGGAGCCGGCCCCGCUCCUGCCUCGCCGGCCAUCAGCCCUGCCCGGAACACUUCGGGGGGGCAAACCCAGAGCCUGGCCGGCUUCUGGAGCAGGAGCAGCUCCUAGGAGCAGGCACAAGGCCCUACGCCCUGCGACAGAGCCGGAGCCAGGGGCUCGGCCUCGCUGUCCCAUCCUCUGCCCUUUGGAUGCGCCGGCCACGCACAGCCACCGGGUUCUGGGGGUGGCGAGUCCUGAGCAGGCUGGGCACGGCACGGUACUCGCUGCUCGAAGGAAUGGAGCUGAGGGCUCUGGCUUAGCCAAACGUGACGUCCCGUAUCCCCCACCAGCCGCGGUCACAGGAAAUCCUUGGGAUCGGUCCCAGCAUCGCCUCAUUGUGCUCCGAGCAGCAGCAGCAUGAAUGAAUCACGCUCCUCGACGUGACACCCAGCUCCCGGCAACGUCCUCGCGACCAAAAUAUUUACGUUGCAAACGAGUAAGAAUGGGACCAAAUCCCCUCCCCGGCUCGGUGACACAAAAAGGCCAAUCUGCUCGUGCACCGAGCAAGCCGGUGGCUGGAGGAUGAGGGCGCAGGACGCCAGGACCCGGUGCUUUGGCAGCGCCAGACCCGAGCCCAGCUCCACGGCAGCAAAGCCCAGGUGGGAACUACGAGUCCCACAGCUCCCUGCUCCCGCCGGAGCCCAGGAGCCACGAGGGAGCAUGCUGGGACCUGUAGUUCGCAGCCAGCCGGCUGCCGAGCCCCGCGCGCCGUAAACACGUCUGGAAUCAAACAGACGCGAGGCCCCAAGCUCGUGGCGCGACGCCAGCGGCGGCUCCUCGCCGGCAGGCGCUCGGCGCGCUCCCAUGCGAUGCACGAGCCCCUUUCCGAGGGGAGCAGGGCGCCUGCACCCCGCAAACCCCUUGCAGAUGGCGCAAUGGGAGCCCCAGGAGGUGCGAGCCCCUCUGCUCCUGCUCCCAGGGCUUCGUUUCGCCCCUGGCGCGGCGCGGUGCCCCCGCGCUCGCCGGCAGCGCGGUGUCAGCAGGCAUUAUUACUUCACGCCACGGCCGGGCUUCCUGGCAGGGAGGAAGGGGAAGAGGAGCCCGGGGCAAAGGCAGCCGGCACCUCCAGCUCCCAGCCAGGAGGUGGGCACGGCCCCUUCUCCUCUCAUCGCCCUUGCGCUCAGGAAGGAAACAUCCUAUUUCCUAGCCCGCCUGCCCGAGCCGCGAUGGAGCGCGUACCCCUCGCAGGAUGCACGGGGAAAAAAAAAAAAAAGGGGCUGGAGUUUAUUUUAAUUCGCUCUUGCAAAUAAAUCAAUUCCACCUUCUCCAUCUGUGGUUGUGGCUGCUGCUCGCCGUGGGAAGGUGCCCAGCUCCGGCUCCCACGGGAAUGGCCCCAACGCCAGCGCCCGAAAACCGGCGCAACCGCGCGCCCCGGCUGCCCAUCGCCUGCCCACGGGUGGCGACGUGCUUGUGGUACCGGUUAACAGAUAAAAACAGGUAAAACAAUGCAUUUGAGAAGUCACUCAAUAAUGACGAGCUUCCCAAAUUGCUCUCUCCAAUCCCCUCCCCAAAACCAGGCGGUACCCACGGCACCAGAGCAGCCUCCUGCUUCGCCACGGCCGCCGCAGCCCCAAAUCCACCCCCAGCAGCAACAGCCCCCGGCGUGCCAGCCCCCAGGCGGCUUUCUUUUGUCUGCCCCGCAUCCCCAGCUGCAUGGGGAAGGUGAUGGGGUGGUGCGGGAGACCUGCAGGACCCGCUCCCUGCCAGGGGGACAUCGCUGAUGGCGUGGGGACAGCUGAGGAGAGGGGGGUUCGGAUGCAACCCCCGCCGCGGUCCUUUAACGUGCUGACUUGUGCUCCUAGGAGGACGCCUGUCAUUGGUUUUUAAUCUCGCCUGAUUACAGGCCAGCCUUUGACAUUAUUGAUCCCCGGCCCCCGAGGUGUCAUUUAUCUUCCAGAUCUGACGGCACAUCGGAGCCCAGCAGCUCGGAACCCGGCCGGCUCCAUCCUUCCAAGGAGCGAGGACCCGCUCAGCUCCUCGGUGCUGCCGAUCUGCGCGAGCCACGUUUGAAGCUCCGUUUCCAUCCCCGAACGAGACGGAUUUUGCUAGCUGCUCUUUCUCCACGUAAAUGCUGCAGAAUCGGGUGCGGCGGGCAGCCAGAGCCCAGCAGAGCCCAGCAGAGCCCAGCAGAGCAGGGCUCAGAGCACAGCAGAGCUGCCUCGGGGAAGUCGGAGGGCGGCCGGACCUGGCAUUUGAUCUCCCGACUCAAAACUCCAGCUCCCCGGGUCCCCGGCAGCUCAGCAGCGCUUUAUCGAGCUUGGCAGCCCAAGGUGCCUCCAGCGCCCGCCGCUUCCCCCUUUCGGUUCCAUUAUCCUCUUUUAGAGGGGGACGCGGCGCGGCACAGAGGUUAAGGACGUGCCGAGGGCCACGCGGGACGGGGCAGCGCAGGGUACAGAGGAGCCAUUUCCAGCCGUGACCGCGCUGCCAUUUUCUACAGCAGCAGGACCAGCUCCUCGUCCCCACAGAGAAAUCACCUGCUGCCCGGGCUACGUGGGGGCUUCUCCUUACCUGCCCGCCCGGCUCGCACCCCCUGCUUCCUCCGUCAUCCGCCCGGGCUGGCAGGAGGCCCCAGCCCCCACCUUUCAGGAAAAACGACGUUUCCCUCAAAUUUCUGACACGUUACCGGGGGCAGCGCGAAGGCUGUCUUCUCGGAUGCUUCUUGUCUCUCUCUCCAGCAGAGCCAGGCCUUGCCUUUCGGGAAGAAGGGACAUUUCCCGAGGAAUGCUCCGGCAGGCGGCUGUACCGCGCGGACAAGGGCUUUGCUUUCGCUUGUCGCCUCCGUAUUAUUUAUUAGAUUACUGCAAAAGCACCUUGAUAGACGGAGAUCAGCGCCGCGCGUGCUGACAGAUAGCAGUAGCCACGAGCCAACCUUGGGGAGGACCAAGGGCAGAAGCGUUUGGGUGGGGGCAGCUUGCUGGGAACGCCGCAGCAUCCCCAGUAGGACCAGCCAUCAGCAAAACCUGCCUGAGUUUCUGCUGCUGGCCCUCAGGAGAGCCCCCCAGCUCAGUUUCUCUCCUCCAGGUUGCACCCCCAUUCCUCUACCCAGACGCCAGGUUGCUGCAGAGAUUAGAGUGACCUUUUCCUCCCCCAGCGUAAAUAAAAUGCCACAAAACCCCAGGCUGGAGGACGAGCCGUGGCUUUGCCUGCUGGGCUCACGUCCUUGAUGGGUGAUGGGCUUGGAGAGGAGUGGUCUUUGCAGGACACACACGGCGUCAUUUCCAGCCCCUUGCCCCGCAGGCUGCCAGCAGGCGGGGGCAGAAAAUAACCCCAAAAGGCGCCCCGAUUUCCCUGCCGGGGCAGAUCCUGCCCCCCACCCUACGACCAAGCCAGCUCCGACACAAGCAGGGCUCACCAACCUCAGCCACCUGGCGCAGGGGGGCUGCAGGAAUUCCCUCCCGGAUCCAGCCACCCCCCUCACCGAGGGGCCUGCCGCAACACCCGAGGGAAGGCGGGGAAGUGGGGAGGCACUUUGUUGUGUCCCCCCCCGCUCCCAAAGAGGGACCGCGCCGGGGACGGAGACCUCGGGGCGCAUUUAUUCCGCUCCAUCCACCCGAGAGCCGCGCGUCAAGGGGCUUUUGCCGGCGGAGCCUGGUGCACCAGGGCCCGAGAACAAAGGGAGGCACCCGCACCCCCAUCCCUUUGUCUGAGCGCAGAGGAGUUUCACCUGCAGGGAAAGCCGGCUCCCACCCCAAAGAGCCGGCGGAUCCGACGGGGAGGGGGAGGCAGCCCCCUGCCCGCGGGAGGACAAGGAGCACCGAGCGAGCCCACGGCAGCCACCCCCGCCCCGUGCUUCCCAACGAGCGUCACCGCUGGGUCCAGGAGCCCAAAACGUCGCCACAAAAAUAACCGAGCGCGUGGCCGAGCACCCCACAGCCCGGGGCUCAGCUCCCCCGGCACCAAAACCCCAGGAGCGAUGGCCAGGGGAGGGGGUCGGAGCUUUCUUUCCUGGGGACGGGGCUUCAGAGCCGCACAAUAACCGGCUCGAGCCAGGGUUUGGAUUAAGUUGUUGUAGGGCGAGGGAAGCUGCCGCCUCCAUUAGGCUACGGGGGAUUUUCUGCCCCUUUUCCCCAAGCUCUAGGACGGAGCUUCGAGGUCACCCAGACAGAGCAUUCGGGAGCGGGGGGACGCCAAGCGAGCAGGGGAUGCUGCACGCAGGGGUGUGUGGAGGGAGGAGAGGGCAGCUCAGCCCUCCCCGAGCCCCGCGUCCUCCAGUCGGCCGGCCUGACAACGUUUACUCAUAUUUCAGAGAGACACAGCCAUCCGGAACGUCACUCCCUGCCAACUGCCUCAUCUGGAGCCAUCCCCAGCUCGCUCCUUUCCAACCCGCGCCGGAGACGGACCCCCCCCAGAACAGCCACAGACCGAGGAACCGAGACAGGAAAGGUCUGGUGCACCGUAGCAGAUCGGGCUGUGAGCGUGGUAGGUAGAAGCCACCGCUGCAGGGUGGCAGGGCGCUGCUCCGAGCAGCUCUGCUCAUGUUACCAUCACAAGCAAAUCACAAGACAGCAAGUGGACGAGCACGAUCCCCUGGCGAGAAGGGGCCAAAGCCGUCCUUAUCGGGAAGGAUCCAGCACCGGGAACCGCUUCCCGGAGUUCAUCUGGAGGACAUAUGUAAAAAUCUCUCGCGUGCAUCCCGCGUCUCGUGCUUGCACAUCACCACCCAGCCCUCCGGAUCUGGGACCAGGCUUCUCCUCUAGCUCCCAACCUCGCUGCCUUCAGCCCUGCUGGGCGAAGAAGGGUUGGCUGCCCCUGGUCUUCCUCCCGUGGAGGAAAGGGAAGAGGAGGACACCCCACACCAUCCAUCCUCUCAACCCCGCAGCCCUGACCCCAUCGAGCCAUCGCCCCCUGACUCUGACCAAGGCAGCACCUCCCGCGCCCACAGGCUGCUGCUAAACGCCCCGAGCUGACAAAGUCACCAGAGACUCGGACGGAGCCGCAGCAUUUUAUCUCGUUAAAAGGAAAAAAAAAAAAGAAAAAGCGAGGCAGGACCAGAUUCUGCCCCAGAGCCUGCGUGGCAAAGCAGAAUCUUGCUCCAAGUGUUUAUUUAUAAAGCUGUACAUACAUGUACAUUUGAAUUCUGACAGAAUUAAUUCUGGCAUCCAGCUAAUUCAAAGCAUUCCUCCCCCAUCACACUACUGUUGCAGGCCAGCCCAGCACAGAAGCUGAUUAUAAAAUGCUGCACUAGCCAGGCAUUUCUGCAAAGGCUUGUGCUAUUGAGCAUUCAGUCUUUCCUUGCUUGGCUAUUUCAUUGUUUCGGUGUCGAUCCCUCCUCUCUUGCCCUGUGUUUCCUGGUUACUUUUGUCCCUGCUCUGGAAGCACUGCUGCUCUCAGCCCCAUUUCAGUGUCAGAUUAAAAAAAAAAAAAAAAAAAUUACGGGAAAUUAAAGAGAAGGCAAGAAAAAAAUUACCCCCGCGUAGCGAGAUUUCCAGCAAACAGACAGGUAACAAGCAAAAAUAGGCCAGCGUGCUGCAAGGCGAGCUGCAGGCGGACCUGGGGCCAGAAAACCCACUGCCUUCCUCCGAAGCACGGCUCAGAAAUCCCUGUGUGGUCACACGCUGUCCUCCCGAACAGAGCGGAGAGAGGUCAGGGCAGGCAGCAAUGUAAGAGCCUCUUUAUUCUUGGGCAGUUGCACGAAUCUGAUCGCUUGUGCCCUUUGUGAGCCAUGGAAACGUGCCUCCUCCUCCCGCCCCUCCGCCACCCCGCAGCUCUGCCCUGCUCGGAAAGGGGCAGGGGCCCAGCGGCGGUGGCUCCUGGGGAGCCACGGGAGGGGAGGAGAAGGGAAGAAGGUCCCGGGGCUCGCGUGUUCCUUGGAGGACUCACCCGGGCUCCCACGGGGCUAAGGAACAGAGCCGGGAUGUCACGCUUAGGUCUUUUUGCCUUCCCCCUCUCCACCACGGCGGUGGGCGCGAGGAGAGCGGCGCGCUCCACACCUGCACGCCGGCGGGCACGUGGCACCGACAUGAAUGUCACGGGUUAGAUUUAGGCUAAACCAGGGUCUAGGCUGAGUGUGUGAUGCUCACUGCCAGCCAAAGCUGGGUCUGUACCUGCUGGCUGGGAGACCAGACCCAAGCCACCGGGCUGCCCGCGUCCUCCACCUCCGCUGUCACUUCUCGAUGGCUCUACGCAGACUUGUGGCUGCGGGUCUAGAGCAACCUGACGGGCUAAGGGCAAGGAAAAUGCUCGAGCCCAGCAGGAAAGCAGCAGGGAAAAGCCUUUAAUCCAGACCCCGGGGAAGGAGGCAGCUGUUCCAGCUCAGCCGAAGAGCUGGGACCACGAGGACCCCACCGCUGCUUGGCCAGAUGGGUUCCCGCCGGGGCGGCUGGGCACCCCAGGGUCUCUGGGGCAGCACAGGUUGCUGUCGGCUGGACUUAAAUUCCCUGCUGCCCCGACAACAAAGCACAGCGAAGCUUGACAGAUCAACGGCACGCUGCUGGGAAGCCGGGCUAGGUGGGUGCUGGGAUCUCCACCACUGCCCGAGGCCCGAGAAGUCACUGCUCAUCAGGGCAGCUUGACCAAGUGACGGCAUCCCAGGGCACAACCGUCAGUCACGUUUAGGAGCCUGGCACUGGGACGAGGCCCCUGGGCAGGAGCUGAUGACAUCGGGAGGCAGAGACGGGGGCUGAGCUGACAGGCGAGGAGGCCGGGGCUGGAGGUUUGGCCCUGGGGUGCCUGCAGAGGCUCAGGUGGAGGGCGCAGGGAGGGUCCGCGCUGCUCCGGCUUCCCAGGACCUACUGCCAGAGCAAUACAGGGACCAGAUAUGUUAAAGAGCUCCAUGGGGAACGCCUGCCAGGCACCAGCCCACACCAUCUACAGUCAGGAGAGCGAAAUUAAGGCCUGAGAACUUGGGCACUCGCGCUCACGAUGCCUCCAGUGAGCUGCGUGCCGCGCUCCUCCUAAACAAGUCGUCUGGAAAAUAAGUAAGCCUGUAAAAAUCCAGCCCAUCGCGAGUUACCAAACCUGUUUCAGAGUAAAACAACCUCCAGCAGCUCGAGCCAGGAGCCUGCCGGUGGGGCCGACCCCCGCACCGGGGCUCCCCAGGUCCCAGCUUAGCACCUCUGGCACCGAGAGCAGCAUGGGGACGGGGAUGGGGACGUGGCAUGGCACUGUCCUCAAGCAGGAAGGUGUCUCUGGUGUCUGAGCCAUCCACCAAGGGAAAGCCGGUGGUGUUUUGGUGAACACCAAGUGCUCACCUCUCCUUUCCCCUAUUCUUCAUAAAACACCUAAGCAGAGCUUAUCCAUGGGGUAAGAAAGGGAACCCGAACCCGCUGAGGAGCGGAGGCACCCAGGAGCCCGGUCCCCGUCCCCGCUGUCUGCAGGACUUCUGCAGCUCCAGGGCCAGCUCUGCUCCCACCCGCCUGCAGGAGGCUCCCGAAUGUCUUCCCGCAGGUCGCAGCACCACAGCGCGCUCUCUCCCUCUUCAUUCAAAAAUGCUGGGGAUUUUCAGAAGGCAGAGGAAUUUUCUCAUGACUUCCACACAGUGCUGUAAGCAAGGUCAGAGAGAAAGCCGUCCCUGUUCCCUGAAACAAAACCGAAGCAGGGGCAGAGCCUCUACUUAACCCCUUUUCCACCGGUGGCACCUUCAGCUCGACACAUUCUGCUGGGACACCCUCAAGCAAGCUCUGAUGUCCCCAGCUUCAAACGACCACGUCCCAUACAAAGCUGGGGUGAACGUGGCAGUACUCAGCGAAGGUUUGGGCGAGCCCCUUUCUCCCAUCGUUCUUUGACUGCUGCCUUCUCACGUCUGCUUCAACCCCAGGAAGGUAUUUUUUUCCCAUUCUGGGGUGAACAAACAAAAAUUGGGCAACGCAACUACUUCAGCCUGGAUGAACUUUCGUUUUUAACCCUGGAAGUGGGUUUCCCCAUGCAUGGGAAUAGCAAGGUGGGAGGCACCCGGCUCUGACAGCAAAGGCAGAGAUGGAAGGAGAAAAUGUUUCAUUUUGAGACCUUGACACGAAACAAAACGUCAAGGAGCAAAAAAAAGAGGGUGGGUUGUUGGCUUUUUUUUUUUUUUCCUCUCCUCUUUAAGCGCUACAAAAACAGGAAACAAAGGAGAAAGCAUCUCACAGGGGGGAAGGGGAGGUAAGCGUUUUAUACGCCCACGAAAGAAAGAUUAACCACAUAUUUUAUUUACUGUUUGUAUUACGGUUGCACCUUCGAGUUCACCCAACUGUGAGCCAGGGCUCUGCGGGUUUGCGCAGAGAACCCAAUACUGAGAGGUCCCUCUCCCCCAAAACGACCCCAACACCAGCCUCUGCUUCAGGACGUGGAGCUCCCUGCUCCACAGACAGCCUCCUCCUUCCUCCCACGCCGACCUGCCUCCAGCUUUUGCCCAGCAACUGCUCAGUGGCCCAAAUCACCAGCUGAGAAAGCACCGGUUCUGCCCCCGGAGGGGUUUGAGGCCUCUUUUCCCCUGCCACAACACCCCCCGAGGUGGGCUGGAGUAAUACACGGCAGAAGAGGGCAGUUUAUCUGAAGAGCUCUUGCGGACUCCCGGCUCUCGGGGCCGCCUCCGCCACCGGGUCGAUCUCAUGCCCCGUAACGCUCACAGUCCCCGUGCCAGACACCGGGCGGAGGACGAUGCUCCGAGCCUCCAAACUUUGACUCAUUUCUCAAUUAAGAUCUUCCCAGAGGACAGCUACAGAGGCACGCACGGAACAAAUCUCUCACGGCCGCUCGGUCCCAGGGCCUCCCCUGAUCUUUCCAGCCCUGCCUCGCUCGCACGUCCCCCACCGCGCUCAUCCCCGGGGUGCUCGGGGACCGCAUCCACCGGCGUGGGGCGAGCCAGCAGCUGGGAAUCCCGUGCCCGACCCCAGCAUGUGGGAAGCCGUCACCGGCUGAGCGCACGCAGGAUGGGACACGCAAGUGGCCUAAUUCGGGAGCCGACGCAGCCGCAUUCCUGGCCGGGACCAGCUCACGUGGCUCGCUGAGGAUUUCCAUCAGAGACCUGCCCAGGGCCACACAGUGAGAGCAGGGAAGAGCCAGGAGCUCGCCUGCUGUUUGUCCAGGGGCUCUUCCCGGUUCGCAGGGAUGCUGCUUGACCGACAAGACCCUUUGGCUACCCCGUUCCCCAGCUUCGGGCUGCCCCAGCCUCUGAGCACCCAACGGCACGCCCAGUGCGAAGAGACAAGCUUAUCAUCGCAGGGACGGGAAAUUAAGAUAACGCGGCGAUGGAGGUACUAAGGGAUUUUGCCAAGGUCACACAAUAAGCCUGUGGCCCUGCUAUACGGGCACCUUCAGCGCCUGGCCAUCCAUCCUAAAAUUUCACACCAGGGCCAGAAUUCAGCCUAGCCAGUGGCAGCGUUGCGCCAGGUCAUUAGGAGCAUGAAUCUGCAAAGAGCAGCGAGCAUCCAGCCGUAACAACAGCCACAACAACAACAAAAAAAACGCAGAGAGAGUGGGAAUAGAUGAGAUCAAAGUGUCCUGGAAAAGGACCUGGAAAAACACUCUGGGUCCCUGACUAACACUCCCGGGAAACACACGCACGAGCAGCCCCGUCCCAGCCCCACGCAGUCCUCCCAGGGUGGCUCCUCCACCCUGGCAGAGGGAGACAAAAAUGACUUCCUAUAAAUAGAAGCAGAAAAGUGCUUCUCAAAAAGCCUGGCUGGGUCUUUCCCCUUCCAGCGCGUGUGGUGGAGCUGCUGGCACCUCUGUGGAGGUCUCUGGUUUUCCCCCAAAAAACCUGGAGAGGAAAAUAACCUUCCUGUUAGCUCACGCUGGCUGCUCUCCGCACAGAGCCGCCUCCCCCCCUCGCAGGCCUGGCCAUCCAAUUGGAAAGUAAUUAUACUGCAAUUUUUAUUUAUGACUCUUUUUUUUUUUAUUGCUAAAUGGUGACUCAUUUUGGCAACAUUAAAAUACACAGGAAAUCGUCCCCAU